UUUGUUUUUUUUUUUUUAGUUUAAACUUGAUUUUGUGAGGGGACGAACAGCGUGACAAUUAAAGAAGAUCUAGGAAUCAAAAGCUUCCUGAGGCCUUCACCAGAAGCAGAUGCUGGUGCCGUGCUUCUACAGCCUGCAGAACUGAAGGACUUUACAGCUUCUCUUUGGCAUAUCCAAAUUGCCAGCAUCACCGCUCUUGCACUCCAAGCCAUUAUUAAGUAAAGUAAAGAACACAAACACUGUGAUACUGCUACACUUGAUCUGAUAACCAAAAAGUCUACUAAGUGACUAACAGCAGAGCAACUGGGAACCUAAUUCUGACCAACAAGGAGGAAUUGUUUGGCUAAUUGGAAGUGACAGAAACCUUGGGAGAAAGCAACCGCAUACCAAGGAUAAUUAUAAGAAGAAGAGAAGACAUGGAGAAGAGGAGGGAGUAGUUGUGACCGUGGAGGCAGAGAAUGGAGUAAUGUGAUCAUAAAUCAAGGAAUGCUGACAGCCACUAAAGCUGGAGAAGGCCAAGGACAGAUAUUCAAUCCUCCCGUAGAAGUACAGCCCUGCUAAUGCAUUGAUUUUGGACUUCUGGCCUCAGAACUGUAAGAGAAUAAAUUUCUAUUGUUUUAAGCCAUCA
rnacentral:antisense_RNA from 1 species